UACGUAGGGGGCAAGCGUUGUCCGGAAUCAUUGGGCGUAAAGCGCGUGUAGGCGGUUCGGUAAGUCUGCUGUGAAAGUCCAAGGCUCAACCUUGGGAUGCCGGUGGAUACUGUCGGGCUAGAGUGCGGAAGAGGCGAGUGGAAUUCCCGGUGUAGCGGUGAAAUGCGCAGAUAUCGGGAGGAAUACCAGUGGCGAAGGCGGCCUUCUGGACGGGAUACUGACGCUGAGGCGCGAAAGCCAGGGGAGCAAACGGGG
rnacentral:rRNA from 1 species